rnacentral:siRNA from 1 species
UAGUGAAUUUUUGGGCUUUAGUG